rnacentral:misc_RNA from 1 species
AAUCUUGUCAGGGAGCAACAAAGGAAAAGAAGUUACACGGACACUGCCAACUUCACUUUGCGCUGUGGGGUAUGCCAAAUUGGAGUAGUUGGCCAGAAGGAGGCUGUUGAGCAUGCACAAGCCACAGGCCAUGUCAACUUCCAAGAGUAUAGAUGAUAAAAUUUGUGAUGAAAACAACCUUAGAGGAAGACUGAUAAGUUUACUUUGGUGAGCUCUUUUGGUGAUUGUAUCAUUCAGUCAAUAAAUUAUUGGAUUCUUUGGUAACCAAUAAAAUGGUCAUAUGCACUUUCAAACACUGGUUUGUAUCAAAGAAAGACAAAUUGAUGUUUCUGUCACUGAUUGAAGU